rnacentral:lncRNA from 1 species
AGAUAUCUCUGUCUCUGAUGGUCUUGUUUGCCCCAAACCUCGCCGGAACGGGCUUUUCAACGAACCCAUCAGACCUUCUCGAUUUCUGCAAAUCAAGUAUGUUCAUAUACGUCUUCUGUCUGCUGUUUUAGUUUCUCCCUUUUUCCCUUUUGUUAAUUGGUUUUGGUGUUUCUCUUGUUGGGUCUUGUAGUAAUCAGCAAAUGAAUGAUUAUGAUUUGAAAGCCGGAACUGAACUUCUGGAUAUCAUCCUCACCAAGGUAAAUUAUGGAUGAUUUAGUUUGUGAUGUGAACUGUUUAUAAUUCAAUUACUACAUCUGAUAACUUUUUUUUUCUGUAAACAGGGGAGCUAUGAUGUAGAGAUGACCAAUUUUGAGAUGGAUUCAUCACCACCAUUCUUUUUUGGGUCUCCGCCCAGCAGGGUUUCGAAUCCCCUGAUUCAGGAUGCCCAAUUCGGCAACGACAAUUUUGUUCCUAUACUAGCAAUUCCAGAAGGAGCACCUUCACCACCACCCUCCUUUACUCCGACUUGUGGUCGUAACAAUGGAGGCGGCUGUGUUCCAGUGAAGUUUGGGAUUAAGCCAGCUGCUGUGAGGAUUGAAGGCUUCAACUGCUGCAGCAGCAUCUCUGCUGUAGCUUAGGUAAAUCAUGUUGCAGAGAUGAUAAUGAUAACAACUACAACAAAGAAAAAGAUAUUAAAAAGUGAAGUUUUUGGGGAGAGAUGAGUAACCAAAACAAAUUCGUUUUAGUCUUGUAUAUAUAGAGUGAAAGAAAGAGGGUCACCAUGAGUUGUGUACGAUAUCCUGUCAUUCAAAUCUUGUUUGUGAAUAUGUUUAUGAGGUGAUGAAUGAGUGUUAAGUUGAGAUCGUAAAAACAAUAAACGGAGAAACCCAAAGAGUAGAGAGAGGCCAAAAAAUUGCCCGCUUCCUAUUGGGAUUGUUAGUUUUUUCUUUUAAGCAUUAGGCUUAAGUUAUGUAAUGAGUAUCUACUGUAGUGUGAGAGACUCUUAAGAGGCUUCGUCUUUGUGACUGAAAAGUUUGUCGCUCUUGUCCUUCAUUGUAAUUGUAAUUCAAAGGAGAGGAGAAGAUGAUCGUCUUUUGACAAAUUCUUUUCAUCUUGUAUUUAUUCUACUAAUUGUGCUAAUUUAUUUUUCCCUGUGCUACUGAUUUGUUUAUAAUUUCUGCUGUAUCGUUGCAAGGAAGAACGUGUAAUGAACUUUUUUCUGUCAAGCUAUGUUUAUCAACGCUGUAGUUAUAGAUUUUUUUUACACAUAUCUUUAUGAAAGGUGCAUUUAAUUGCAUUAUUAUCGGCACUACUAUGUUUAUGUGAUUCUGCUCAAGGAAUUUAAACUUAUCAUAUAGCUAUCACUGACUUGAGCCGUGACAUUCCCAGGUUAGUGAUCUUCUUUAUUUAGCUCAGAUAACACUUGUUUAUAUUAAAUUGAUGUUCUUUUGAUUAAAAAGUCUGUUGUUUUGAGGAAUGAAUGUAAAAUAUUAGUUUCAGUUGAACCCAUUUUCAUACCAUAGGAAGCAAAAUUGUGUAGUCCUGGAAUAGUAAAGAAAUGGGUCUUCGUAUGUUCAUUUUCAGCAGUUAUGUAAAUCACACCGGCUCUCUCUCUUAAUAAGAUAAAUCAAAACUCAAUACUUAAUACUUUUUGAUGAUAGAGUCGUCUAAAAAUAUAAAAGAAUAGUCAGGUCCAAAGAGACCAAAGAAGAGGGCUUAACUGAAGAGACAGAAUUUCAAAUUGUUUCCAUUAUAAGUGCAAGUAUGACCAGAAACCUUUAUCAGUUUGUAGUUAUUCUUUCUCUGAUUGCAUUAUUAGAUAAGUUAGUUAAUAGUGGUGAAGGAGAGAUAUCCUUUUUAAUUAGAUGCAGAACAUGUUUAAACAAUUAAAACAUCUGAAUAGGCGACCUUUUAAAUUAUGCAGCUGUGCACGUUCCUAGGGGCCGUUACAAUAUGUACCUCUCAAUCAAUGGGAUGCGAUAAAUGUAAAAGAUUUUAUGUCCCGCAACUUGAAACUUCUCAAGGACUUCAUAUUCAUUUCCCCCCUCUAGUGUCCUCUUUCCCUGCUUUUGAGUUUGUUUAUCCAAAAAUUGUUUUGCUAGAUUGGUUAUUGAAUAUUAAGUGAAUUGAGCUUUGCACUUGGUUUGUUCUGUCACAUUUUAAAUUCAUGCAGCUUAAAGAUCGGUCACUCAGAUUUUCUAAGAUAAUGCAUCAUGCCAAUUGACCCAAUGUCUUGGAUAUAUUGGAGGCAAUGUAUGGUCCUUGGAGUUGUUAAGCCAUCUAUUGUGGAUCCAGCUGAUAUCAAGGGUGUCGUUGGUGCUAAAUUUGUGCAGUCCCAUUGUGGGCACUUUAUGUGGCUCCUCAGCCUCCUGUUGACUUAGUGCAGAAUUUCAGGUCCAAAGUUUAUAUAGCUGAAUCAUUGAACUUGAGAUGCUGGGGCAUUAUUUACAUAUGAUACAAUGAACUUCUACAAUCUGGAGUUGAAAAAUACUAAUGUAAGGGUCUCCUGGUUUCUCCUAUCACAGUUGAAUAGUUCACAUUUGUACAUUUUGCUUGCUUGCAUUAUGUAAAUAUUGUUUUUGAUAAGCAGGAUAAUGACCCCCAUACAUUUCUUGGUAACAUUAGCUCCAAUUGUUAUUGGUUCUUAAUUUCUAAGUCUUGUUAGCUUCUGUUGAUAAAAAAAGGAGUUGAUAUCAAAUGAGCUGAAACUUAUAUUAGCAAAUUUAUCAGCUAAAUGAAAAAAAGAAGAAGAAAAGUAACUUAGAUAAGCAAAACUGAUAUGUGGGAAGGCCGUAAACGGCAUCUUUUUUCUCCCAUUUCUUUGGGCAUCACAUCACAUCUAUUGGGAUAUGAUGGACAACUAAGUUUGUGUUUAUUCAUGUGAUCUAUAAGCUGUUAGUUGGUAAAGUACGACAUUUUUUCUUUUUAUAUUCUUCUGGGCUGCAUCACUCCCUCUCCUACCUUGUAAUGACUGAAUUCUUUAUCUUGGAUUAGUUUCGUAGAAGUAUUUUAUUGACAUAUGAUUGCGAGACUGAACUCUCUGUUUGCUCUGGUAUAACAUUGAAAUGUGUGAAUGACCUUUUUAAAAAGUUCAAAGAUUUAGUGAGGUGGGCACUUUUAUUUAUUUAUGGCUGCAGCAAUAUGUUUAGAUAUUGUAUGCUGGGUUUAACAGUCAUAAAGAGCCAAUUAACACUAAGUAAGCUGUGCAAUCUGCAAGUAGACAGUGGCAAGUUGAUGACAUUGUCAAGGUGGAACUUGUCUAUAAAACCUUAUUUGGUGAAUAGCUGUUUUGUGAUCAAUAUGCAAUGGAUGCAUCAAUACUGUUGUGGAUGUGUAAUGUGUUUGAUCUAUUGUACAUCAUGUGCAGGUGGUUCAUCUCUCAACAUAUGAGGACUUCAUCGAGAAGAAUGAUAUGGUUUUCGUACCAGAUGACUAGGAAAGUUGCUCCAAGCAAAGCAUUGCUUUUACAAUCGAGAAAUAUCCGAGUAGUUACUCAGUUGAUGAUGGACUCUCUUCUACCUUCUUCACUUAAACACCAAGCUCUUUGUCUUCGAAUGGCUCCAACCAAAUGCAUUUCAAGUUUACAAUGAAAGAUCAGCUGGGAGAAUAGUCAUGCUGUUUAGGCUAGCACUGUUGUUUGGCUUUUCCUUUUGUGUUGUUCGUAAAGAUUUGGUAAUUGCUAGCACUGUUGUUUGGCUUUUCAACCAAUUGCUUUAUAUUUGUAAAGAUUUGGUAGCUGGAAAUUGAUUUCAAGCCAUCUCUACUUGAAACUCAACACGCUUUGGUUUAAAUCCAACUAUUUGGGCUGGUCGGAUAGAAUAUCAUGGGUGAACGGGUUAUAGUAUUUUCGUGCAAUUCAACUAUUUCAUUAGUAUUUGCUACAUGCAUCAAUAUAAACAUGGAAUAACUCUUCCUUCGAAAAACUAGACAUCCAAAUGAAAAGAAAUCACCUCAUUUUUAUCGGAAAAUUUCACUAUAUUAGGAGUAACAAUUAGGUAACAUAUGUAUGUUCAAGCAUUUAGGUGACAUAUAUUUAUCCCGUUGAGAAGAAAACACAAUAUAUAUAAGAAAUUUUAUAUAGGCAAAUCUUUUUACAAAGGUAGAAUCCAUCUCAACGUUAUUCUUUUUUUUUUUUUAAAAAAAAAAAGAGAGGAUAAAAUAGGGGUAUAAUUGGUUAAUUUUAAUAGUUGAAAGAUAUUUUUAACUUUUCGUUUAAAUAAUAAAAAGAAUAAAGGAUCACUGAUUGCUUUGUUUUUAUUCAAUUUUCAAAAUAAAAAUAAAAAUGUGUAGGCUAAACAUUCAAACCUGUCAGUAAUAGAAAUAGAAUAUAAUUUUGUUGGUAUUUGUCUGAGUUUGAAAAUCAGUGGGUAUUUUGGGCGGUUCGUUUCACUUUUCAAAAUCUAAAAUCUCCACUUCCCCUUUCAAACCCUAGUGGAUCAAAAUUAUGAAGACGGCGAAGCCAUUGAAGCAACUUAAGCUCUCUGUACCCGCUCAAGAUACUCCCAUUUCCAGCUUCUUGUAAGUAUCUUUCUUACUCAUUACCUCGAAUCUACUUGUAGUACAACUUUUUUGAAAAAAAUCCCAUUUAUUUAGUGAAAAAAUGAUAAUUGAUACUAUUGAUUGCUGUUGAUUCAGGACUGCGAGUGGAACGUUUCAUGAUGGCGAUUUACUUUUGAACCAGAAAGGACUCAGACUCAUUUCUGAAGAGAAUGAAUCUCUGGUUAGUUUUUUCAAUUUAAUUGAUCUACUUCUGAUUUUUCUUUUUCGGUUUCCAUCCGUGUCCGGUAACUGCAUUGGAGCCUGAUUAAUCCGGAUUCGCACCGCGUAGGGCCCAUUUGAGGGAAGCUCUCCCUACCAAGGAGUUUUCCUUACUCAGGACUUGAAACAGAGAUACUUCGUUUUGAUUUUUUUUGCUAUUUCCACAUGUUGUAGUUUAAGUUUUCGUAUUGCAAUUACUUUCAGUUAUGAAACCAACCUGAGAUGUCUUCAUUGUUGUUCCUUUUUAGGUUAAGCAUAUUAUUUUCAAUUGUUUAUUUAGCUCUAGUCGCACUUUGGAAACUUCAAGUUUGUUAACUUUUGUAAAUUUGAAUAUAAUUUUAACCUGAUAUUUAUUCAUUGUUAUUCCAUUUUAAGCUAGCAGAUUAUUUCCAAUUGUUUAUUUAGCUCUAGCCGCCCUUUGGAAACUUACAUUUGUUAACUUUUGUAAAUUCGCAGAUACUUUUGACCUGAUGUCUUCAUUGUUAUUCCAUUUUAAGUUGAGCAGGUUCUUUUUGAUUGUUUAUUUAGCUAAAGUUGCACUUUGGAAACUUCAAUUUGUUAACUUCUGUAAAUUUGUAGAUAUCUUUGUCUGAUGUAUUAUUUCGUCAAAUUGAAUCUAGCUUCAACCAAGGAUUAAUUGUUUAAUUAGUGAGCAGAUAUAUACUUAAAUUUAGGUUAAUUCAAAAUUUGGUAUUGGACAUUUCUAUGAUCUGAUGGAAAGUUUCAAUGUUUUGUGUGUAAUGUUCACAGCCCUCAGAAACAAAGGAGAUAGAUCUUCAAUUUUCAUUGGAAGAUCUUGAAACCAUCAAAGUCAUUGGAAAAGGAAGUGGGGGUGUUGUUCAACUUGUUCGUCAUAAAUGGGUUGGAACAUUGUUUGCUCUGAAGGUCAGUACCUACCAAGCAAGAAUCCCUUGGAAUUCCUCUUUUCUCCAAUUUAAUUGGUUAAUGAUGUCUGUGUGUAGUUAGGACCAAGAAAAGUGCAAUACUAACACAUUAGUCGCUAUAAUUAUCAAUAUCAUGCAAUAGUGGAUAUGGUAAUGAUCCUCGAUCGAUGAAUUGCAGAAGAGCAAGCUUUUCUUGUUUGAGGUGUAGCACUUGAAACAGACCACACUAAAUCUUUGUAAAAAAUAGUUUCUAAUCCCUAUUAGAGAACUGUUUUAGCAUUUGGAUAAAGCAACCAAACACACAUAUGUCUUAGUGUCUUGGAAUAACAAUUUGCAAAAUCCUUCAUCCCACAUUGGUGCAAUUUGACCCUUGUAUCUUGGCCAUUUGGUGUAACUUGACCCAUUUUGCUUUUUGUUGCAGUGGUGAGCCGAAAUUGUAUUUUGAUUUAACUUCAUCCUGGUCACCUCCUUUAAUGUUGAUGGAUGAUUGUUUCUGAUCCAGGUUAUCCAGAUGAAUAUACAAGAAGAUAUUCGUAAGCAGAUAGUGCAAGAACUGAAAAUAAAUCAAGCAUCACAAUGUCCACAUGUUGUUGUAUGCUACCACUCUUUCUAUCACAAUGGAGCUAUAUCUCUGGUUUUGGAGUAUAUGGACCGUGGAUCUUUAGUUGAUGUAAUCGGGCAACUUAAGACAAUUCUUGAACCAUAUCUCGCAGUUGUUUGCAAGCAGGUUCUUGGUUUUCUAGAAACUAAUCUUUGAACAAAUUUCUGCUCUCCAGAUGCUGAAUUUUUGCCACUGUUUGAUAUUUUCUUGCAGGUUUUACAAGGUCUUGUCUACUUGCAUCACGAGAGACAUGUUAUCCACAGAGACAUAAAGCCAUCAAACUUGCUAGUGAACCACAAAGGAGAGGUAAAAAUUACAGAUUUUGGUGUAAGUGCAAUGCUAGCCAGCUCUAUGGGUCAAAGGGAUACAUUUGUUGGAACCUACAAUUACAUGGCAGUAAGUCCUCUUCCUACAGCAGUUGAGUUGUUUUGUUCUGUGUUUUGGUAAUUGCUCUUUUUGACCAAGAAAAGAAUUGCUGUAUGUGGGGGAAUCAAACUUGCAACAAUAAUUGGCUUUUAGUUUUGUCUAGUAUCAAUUCAGCAAUUUUGUGAAUAAUUUCAUGAUUGAAUGCAGUUUAGCAGUAAACUGACUCAUUAUUUACCCUGAUUAAGCCUGAAAGAAUAAGUGGAAGUACCUAUGACUACAAGAGUGAUAUCUGGAGCUUGGGCAUGGUCAUCCUUGAAUGUGCUAUUGGACGUUUCCCAUACAUACAGUCAGAGGACCAGCAAGCUCGGCCUAGCUUUUACGAGCUUCUGGAGGCUAUUGUUAGCAGUCCACCACCUUCUGCUCCAGCAGAUCAAUUUUCCCCAGAAUUCUGUUCGUUUGUUUCUGCUUGGUAAGGAUACAGUAUCUUUUGCUUAUGUGUUAAGACUUCGAACAGCGCUCACCAAGCAAGUUGGUGUUGUAGUUUUUACUCUCCCACCAAGUUUACUUUUGUCUUUCUCUAUCACCCUAAAUUUAAUUUUCAAGAAAAAAAAAAAAGUUCUUAGCAUAGUUCCCUCAUUAUCUAUUUACAUCAUGUUUGCUGCCUGAUAAUCUGUUUGGCUAGAAUUUUUAAUUCGUUGUUUCUCUAGCUAACUUGCAUUGCUUUAUUAACACAGCAUUCAAAAGGAUCCCAGGGAUAGAUCUUCAGCUUUGGACCUUUUGGUAAGCAUAACUCAGUGCAUCAUCUUUCAUGUGUUUUCCUUUUUAGUUGCUGUCUGUAAAUGUGCAACUCACCACAUUACGACAAUAUCAAUUUCAGAGUCACCCUUUCAUUAAGAAGUUUGAAGACAAAGACAUUGAUCUCAGCAUCCUUGUCAGUAGCCUGGAACCACCAGUAAAUUUUCCAAGAUAAGUUGUUGUCAUAUAUAUUAAUACAACUACUAUUACAUUGUAGACCUGUAAUAUCUAGCAGUUUCUGUAUGUAAACAUCACUUGAGAUGAAUGAAUUACUUAGCAGCAUUUUUAUCUAAUAUGAGUUCAAUAUACUAGCUAUUUGUCUUCCCUCCAUUUUCACCUUUCACAGCCGCUACCACCCCGGUUACUAGCCCCCUUUCCAUAUUUGGCAUUUCAGAUGUUACUUGAUUGCCAUUAUUAGUACUGUACCAUUUGUAUGCCUAGCUCUUUACAUAAUGCUUUUCAGCCAUGCUAAGAACAGGUCAAUCGAAAAGACAAUAGAAAUAAUUAUUGAAGCUCUUGAGCCAUGCUAAUUGCGGGCCUAAAUUCAUCCUGUAAAGGCAAAAAACCACAAAACUAAUAAGAGAGUGGCCUAACUAUUGAAUUUCCAAAAAAAAUUGAAAAUGAGCUUUGUCAACUUGUCCAUCUUUUCAUCUUCUUUAACCUUCCUUGGAUGGGCAUAGAGAGAACUUGGUGCAUCGGGAUGCUCUUUUUCUUCUUCUUCUUUAACCUCAAAAUAUUUUAAGAAAUGGCGCCAACACUUGUCAUGAGUACCUGAGCAACAAUUGCGAUUCCUUCUACCAUACAACUUCUUGAUUACUCCCUGUUCAAAUUUAAAUUAUUUUCAAAUAAGAUGUAUCAUUCUUUUACGAAAAAAUAAAAGUGUGUCACAUAAAUUGAACUGGAAGAAAGGGAAAAAGCUUACUAUUGCAGUUGGAGAAAAACUAGUUGGUAUUGAUAGAGUCAAUGUGUUUGGAUGAGACAUCCAAAGUAAGUUAUCAAUAAUAUAUCUCAUCAAAUGUUCCUCUUGAUAUUCGAGUUUGUUCAUGUCUACCAUUAUGUGUUUGAUAUAAUGUAGCGGCUGUGUUGGAGCUCGUCCACUUGGCUUGCUACUGGGAUGACAUGCACUUGUCUUCAUACAUAGUAAGAAGAUGAUUCAUCAAUAUACAUAUAUAAUAUAUAAAAUUAAAGAGUAUAGUUAACAAAGAUGAUUAAUUAAGAGAUUUAAUGUACCUUAAUGCGUAUCUCCAAUGUUGUAUUGUGGUUGCUAAAAUUCUGAAGAUGACUUCUCAAUUUGAGGAACCAAGCUCUUUUCAUGAUCUUAUUGAUUUUAGGAACCAAUACAAUAUUAUAGUUGGUCUCUAAAAGUUUUGAAGGAGCUAAAUAUGAUUGAAAUGUUGUACCCUUAAAUUUGAAAUAAGACAAAUUUGGAGAUGAAACUACACUUUUUCUUGUACAUUUAUAUACCUGUGGGAUGGAUAAGAUCCAUUUUCUGAGCGAUGAACCCGAAAUAUUGAUAGGCUUCUCUGGUCCCAUUAACAAAGUUUCAAGAUGAGGAAAAUCUGAACAGAAAUUUUCAGGAUCAAGACCAUUAGGAAGUUUUGAACAAUUUAAGUGAAAUUCCCGCAACAUUUUGCAAGCACGAAUAUCCAUGGUAACAACAACGUCUUCGAUUUCAAGAUACCGAUUCCGUAAAAUGAAAUGGAAGACUUGUAACCUGGGGGCAAUAACUUGUAUGUUUGUAAAAGAAGAUGAAUCACUAACGUUCACAUAAAGCUUCUCCAAACAAGCUAAGUUAGUUAAUACUAUAAAGCUUAUCCCCCAACAUGUGACCAAACUCAAUUCUCUAAUAUUAGGACACUUACUAAUAAAUUUAGAUAGUAUUUCUUCUUCAGAUGAGGUGACACGUUCCAAUUUCAACUCUUGCAAAGAGGGAAUUGUUACUUCAUCACAUAACACAUGCUGCUUAUCAAGUACACAGUUAGUUAAAUGUAGAAUAGUAAGACAUUUCGACUGAAAAAUAUAGGGCAAAUAGUCGUAAAACAAUUUCAAAUAAACCUCAUGGAAAUUGUUUUCCUCCAACAAUUUCAUUAUAUCGCGGAUGUAUUCGACAUUGAUAAACUCAACGUGCAAUACUCUUUUCUCAGCAUUGAUUAACUUAUUUUUACAAGUGUCGAUAGAAGAACGUAUUGAAUCCCACAAGUCGUUAAGUGAGUAAGAAGUUGGAUCUCUUUUACGUAAAAGAGAUUCAUUAAAGUGGAAAUUGAAGUGUGAUGGUGUGUUAAGAUACCAAUUUUUGUUAACAAGGCGUACAUGAAGCAGGUCAUGAAAACUAAGGUAGAAAAAUAUGUAAUGGAGAAUAUGAUGGGGCAAUUGUAAGGUUGGAUCUACUAUAUUUGGUGGAUUAUCUUCAAUUGUGUGAGUAAUGAUGAAGAGUUCGUCAUCAUCAGCCAUGCUGUGGAAACUGAAACGUUAACACAAAACCCUAACUAGGUAUUAUAAUUUGAAGGAAAAAUCUAUCUAAAAUAGGUGUAACUUAACGAGCCCAAUAUAUAUAUGGGCUUUAUCUAAAUACACAAUUUAUUUCAUGAUAAACUAUUUUAUUAGACCUACAUCACUAUCAUAUAAUAUUAAUUUUCCCUUUACUUUUAAACCAUUACAUAUAUUACCACUUAUGAAUUAGGGUAAAACUCAAAAUCUAACUUUUCCUCUUCCUCUUUCCUUGAAGAGUCAAAAUUUUGCUGAAAACACCCUAUUAAAAUGGAUGUUGUACAACUUGUCAGCACACACAUCAAAUUCUCUAAAAUUUCAUGUAUCGGUCGGAUAUAUUACUUUCAGGACGUUUAGUGAUGAAUCCGAAAUCGAGACACGAUGUAUCAAGACGUCGAGUGAUAUAUCCGAAAUUGAGACACGAUGUAUCGUGACAUUGAGUAAUGUAUCCAUAUUGAGACAUUGAGUAAUGUAUUCGAAAUCGAAACGCGAUAUAUCGGGAUAUUUUGAGAUGUAUUUGAAUUAAUUUGGAAAAGAAUAGGAAUAGAAUAUUUAUUAACUAUUGAUUUAUACAAAAUUCCCUUUAUUUAAUAGAAAUUUAUUAGGACAGUGUAUAUAUUAUAAUUUUUUGCAUCCGGUGAAUUUUAGACAUAUAUUAGACAUGAAUCAUAAUCCUAAUUGAAAUUGAACACACUUUGUAGACAUAUAUUAGAUAUAUAUUCAUGUCUUCGUACAUAGUUUAGGGUUGAGUAGCCUCCAAUAAUCCUAAUUGAAAUUAAACACACUUUGUAGAGUUUAAACUCGAUUUAAACACGUCUUGUAAGAGUCACAAAAUUUCAAUGUCUAUAAAUUUCCAAGGCAGUAAUUAACAAUGCUAGUGAAUAUCUAACAUCAUAUCCGAUAUCCAUUUUGAGGUCCAAGUCAUCUGAAUUUGCUAAUAUAUUUUAAUCAAAAACCACUUUAUAUUUUGAACUCAAUCGAAAGAUGUAUGAUUAAUCUAAAUGCAAUUGUCCGUUAAAUCUGUCUGCAUAGUAAACGCAAAAUCAUAAAUGAUGAAUAAAGUAAAGGGGAAAAGGACAAAUAUACCCCUGAACUAUCGUAAAUGGUAUGCAAAUACCUUUCGUCAUACUUUUGGGACAUUGAUGCCCCUGCCGUCCAAAAACUAGAGCAUAUAUGCCGUUCACUCUAACAGAAGACUACAUAGGGUCGAUGGAUAAGAUUAUAACACGUGUAUGUCUGUUAGUAUAAAGGGUAUAUAUGCUCUAGUUUAUGAACGGCAUGGGCACCAAUGUCCCAAAAAGGUAUGCAAAUACCCUUCGUCAUACUUUUGGGACAUUGAUGCCCCUGCCGUCCAAAAACUAGAGCAUAUAUGCCGUUCACUCUAACAGAAGACUACAUAGGGUCGAUGGAUAAGAUUAUAACACGUGUAUGUCUGUUAGUAUAAAGGGUAUAUAUGCUCUAGUUUAUGAACGGCAUGGGCACCAAUGUCCCAAAAAUAUGACGGAGGAUAGCUAAUGUAAAGGAAAAUUACCUACUUAUGACCGAAUGAGAAAAGUAUACAGAAUAAAUUUAUAUAUCAAUCAGUCAAAAUUCUCUGUUUAUACAUGAAUAAAAAUAAUAUCGGGACUGGAAAAGUAAGGAAAGGUAUCCUCGCUAAAUAUAACCAAAGUUCCACAAUCCAUUAUCUUCUCCAAUCGAUCACACUCCGAUAAUGAUCACUUAAGCACCUCUUGAAACCGAACGAAAAGAGAUUGUUUUGUUUUUAAAGUAAACAAUGAUAUUUAAAAAUUGAAGUGCUUGACUUUGAAUACAGAAAUUAAUUUUAACUUUUCACGAGGAGAAGAGCACAAUCAAAAAGAGCAUAUAAAUAAUUAUUACAGCGCUGAAGCCGUGCUAAAAGCAGACCAAAAUUCAUCCAGUAAAAGCAAAAGAAACCACAAAACUUAAAAGAGAGUGGCCUAUCUAUUGGAUUUCCAAGUAAAUGCGAAAAUUAACUUGUCCUUCUUUUCAUCACUAUCUUCUUUAACCGCUCCUGGAUGGACAUAGUGAAAGCUUAGCACAUCGAACUUUUCUUUUUCUUCUUCUCUUUUAAUCUCGAAAUGUUUCAAGAAAUGGCGCCAACACUUGCCUUGAGUACCCGAGCAACAAUUGCGAUCCCCUCUACCAAACAACUUCUUGCUUACUUCCUGUUCAAAAUUAAAUUAUUAUUUCAAAUAACAAGAUGUAUCAUUAUUCUUUUGUUAACACAUGAAGGGAAAGCUUACCCAUGCAGUUGGAGAAAAACUAGCUGGUAUUGAUAGAGUCAAUGUGUUUGGAUGAGAUAUCCAAAGUAAGUUAUCAAUAAUAUAUCCCAUCAAAUAUUCCUGUUGAUAUUUGAGCUUGUUCAUGUCUACCAUUAAGUGUUUGAUAUGAUGUAGUGGCUGUGUUGGAGCUCGUCCACUUGGCUUGCCUUUAGGAUGUCCACAUGAUCUUGUCUUCCUCAUAAUUAAUACAUAGCAAGAAAAUGAUUGUAUUAAUCUUUUAAAAAAAAUUAAAGAGUAGUUAACAAAACUGAUUAACUAAAAGAUUUAGUGUACCUCUUCACGAACGCAUAAGUCCAAUGUUGUAUUGUAGUUGCUAAAAUUCUCAAGAUGACUUCUCAAUUUGUGGAACCAAGCUCUGUUCAUGAUCUCAUGGACUUUAGGAACCAAUACAAUAUUAUUGUUGUUCUCUAAACGCUCACUUGGAGGAGCUAAAUAUGGUUGAAAUGUUGUAUCCUUAUAUUGGAAAGAAGACAAAUUAGGAGAUGAAUCUUUACUUCUUCUUGAACAUUCAUAUAGUUGUGGGAAGGACAAGAUCCAUUUUCUGAGCGAUGAACCCGAAAUAUUGAUAGGCUUCUCUGUUUGACAAGGUCCCAUUAACAAAGUUUCAAGAUGAGGAAAAUCUGAACAGAAGUUGUCAGGAUCAAGACCAUUAGGAAAUUUCCAACAAUCCAAGUGAAAUUCCCGCAACAUUUUACAAGAGCGUACAUCCAUGUUAACAGGAACACCUCUGCUUUCAUAACUCCGUAAAAUGAAAUGGAAAACUUGUAAACUCGGGGCAACAACUUGUAUGUUUGUAAAAGAAUGAAAAUAACUGAGGUAUACAUAAAGCUUUUUCAAACGAUCCAAGUUAGUUAAUACGAUAAAGCUUAUCCUCCAGCAAAACAUCAAACUCAAUUCUCUAAUAUUAGGACACUUACUAAUAAACUUGGAUAGUAUUUCUUCAGAUAACGUAACGCCUUCCAAUUUCAACUCUUGCAAAGAUGGAAUUAUUUCUUCUCCACAUAAUAACACAUGCUUUUCAAGUUCACAAUUAGUUAAAUGUAGAAUAGUAAGACAUUUCGACUGAAAAAUAUAGGGCAAAUACGAGUAAUAGCAGCAUGAACGAAAUGACUCAAUUUUCAAAUAAACCUCAUGAAAAUCGUUUCCGUCGAGCAAUUUCAUUAUAUCGUGGAGAUCCCCGCAAUCAUUGAAUUGAACACGCAAUGCUCUUUUCUGAGCAUUGAUCAACUUAUUUUUAGAAGCAUCGAGAGAAAAACGGAUUGAAUUCCAAUACUCGUUUUCCGAGUAUGUAGUUGGAUUUUUUUCACGGAAGACGGAUUCAUUAAAGUUUAAAGCCAAGUGUGAUGGGGUGUUACGAUGCCACUUUUUGCAAACAAGGCGGACAUGGCGUAGAUCGUGAAAAUUAAGGCAGGAAAAUAUGGAAUGGAGAAGAUGAUCAGGGAAUUGUAACGUUAGAUCUACUGAAUUUUUUAGGAUAUCUUCUGUAACUGUUUGAGAAAUGAGAAAGCGCUCUUCACCAUUAGCCAUGGUGUGGAAACUGAAAUUGAGACGGUAACACGAAACCUAUAGGUUGAUUUGAGCAAUGAGGAAGAGUAGUCAGUCAUAUGGUAAUUUUGAGCCCAAAUAAAUAUAUGGGCUUCACCAACAAGUUUUUGCAUCGACAUUUAAAUUGGGGGUAUUUAAUUUUUAUCCCUAGUAUUUUUUUAAAAUUAAAUUUGUUAGACCAAAAUAUCCUUUCUGGUUCGUAGUCUUGGAUUAUACACUUUUCGUUGAAGAUAUGUCCUCCGUGUCUUCUUCGACAGCUCACAUUAACAGAAAGGUUCGGUACCUUGUUACUUAUUUUCGCUAGCUAGACCUUUUUAGAGAAUGUUUAUCAUAGUAUAAGUUUUGUUUUGUUUAUCUGUAAUUGAAAAUAUCAAAUUAAUUAGAUCCAUUGAUAUGUGUUUUUUCUGUCAUCUGAUUAAAUGAUUGCCGUGAGUAAACUUAUAGGAUUAAUUGGAUUCACUUAGUUACAAGUAAGAAAUAAUAAUGAAGAAAUGAAAAAUCUUACAUUUUUUUUAUUUUCUGAGAGAUGAACCCGAAAUAUUGAUAGGCUUCUCUGUUUGACAAGGGCCAAGUAACAAAGUUUUAAGAUGAGGAAAAUCUGAAGAGAAGUUCUCAGGAUAAAACUAAAUCAUACGGAAACUUAAAAUUAUAAAACUAUCAAUGGUAUAAAUCAAAAGUAAUGGAGAAAAAUCAACAAAAACAAUUUUAGCUACUAGUUAAGUAUACUUCCUCUAGUUCAUAUUAAGUGAAUUGUUGAAACUUUUUUCAUCUCUAGUUCAUAUUAAUUGAGUUGUUGAAACUUUUUUCAUGAUUCAAAAUAAAUGACUGUUUCAAAGUUCAAGAGAAUUAUUGAAACUUUUUUUCCAUAUUUACCUUUUCUUUGAAUAAAAUUCUUAACAAUUUUACAUUUUCUAAAAGAACAGUUUAGAAAUAAUCAAAAGUAUAAUAGUGAAUAAUAAUGUUUAAUUUUAUUUUAAAAAAUAAUUUCUUGAGUGUGUGUUAGACCUAACGAUUCACUUAAUAUUGAUAAAAAAUAUAAAGAUACAAUCUUAAUUAAUAGGUUAUUCAAAAUUUAAGGUUAAAACAUAAAGAAGAUAUGGGGGCAACUAUUUCUGUUUUGUUCUUUAAAAAAAUAUUGUGUUUAAAAAUGUAGCUACUCAGAUCAAACCUUAGACCUCAAAGUUAUUAAAGCACGUGCUUACCGCAAGACUACCAAUCUUUGUUAUGUGUAAGGGUGUCAAUUUAUUAUAUAUUCAGAUAUUAGACAAUAUUUUACAUAUAUACACGGUAUAAUUUUCUGACGAAUGGUGUGCGGUUGACCACCCCCUUACUUGAUCGUAGCUUCGCCCCUUGAUCCCAAGAUAUCCAUAUGUAAUUGUCUUUAUACAUAGUACACGAAGAUGAUUCAUCGAUAUGUAUAAUAUAUGAAAAUUGAAGAGUAUAAUUAAGAUAGUUGAUUAAUUAAAGGUGUGUUAAUAAUGUACCUCUUCACGAAUGCGCAACUCCAAUGUUGUAUUGUGGUUGCUAAAAUUCUCAAGGUGACUACUCAAUGUGAGGAACCAAGCCCUAUUCAUGAUCUUGUGAAUUUUAGGAACCAAUACAAUAUUAUAGCUGAUCUCUAAAAGCUUUGAAGUAUCACUUAGAGGAGCUACAUAUGGUUGAAGUCUUGUACCUUUAUAUUGGAAAAAAGGUAAAUUAGGAGAAGAUAAAACUAUACUUUCUCUUGAAAAUUGGUUUACUUGUGGCCGGGACGGAUAAGAGAACUUGAAAUUUUAAUAAUAGGCUUCUCUGUAUGACAAGGGCCAAGUAACAAUGUUUCAAGAUGAGGAAAGUCCGAACAGAAAUACCAUUAGGAAAUUUCUAACAAUUCAAGUGUAAUUCCCGCAUCAUUUUACAAGCUCCAAUAUCCAUGUUAGUAGUAAUUUUACGACUCCGUAAAAUGAAAUGGAAGACUUGUAACCUCGGGGCAAUAACUUGUACGUUUGUAAAAGAACCUAAAUUACUAACGUUCACAUAAAGCUUCUCCAAACAAGCUAAGUUAGUUAAUACGAUAAAGUUUAGGGAAAAUUGUAUGUAAUAGCAAACUAUUAAUUCAAAUUAAAUGCUAUAAAUAUAGUUUGAUUUAAUUGUAAUCCAUAGCAAACUGUUGCUAUUUCGCCUCUCUCCUGGUGAAUCUCAUUCUCGCUGGCAGUCUCCCUUGCCUCUCUCACUUUUAUACAAACACAAAUGCGUUUGUGUUUGUAUAAAACGAGAGAAAAUUAUAUAUAUACAUUUUCGUUCCUCUCUCUCCCCUGUCCCAGAUCUCGCUCGCCUCUCUCACUUUAUACAAACGCAAAUAUAUACAUUGCGUUUGUAUAAAGCGAGAGAAAAUUGUAUAUACAAAUACAAAUGCAUAUAUUUUCGUCCUAUACACUUAUGAUUAUACAAAUACGAUCUUCCUCUGCCCAGUUUUCUUUUGUCUUUCUCGCUUUAUACAAACACAGAUUAUACAAUUGAUAUUUUGUAUAUGUAUACCGAAACAGAAACAGAUUAUACAACUGUUUUCUUUUGUAUAUGUAUAGCGAAAUAUACAUAAUUAUGUUUGCUAUGGAGCACAAUUAUGCAAACUAUAGCUAUAACAUACAAAUAUGAUUUUUAUGUUUGCUAUAUGUGAAAGUUAUUCAGUAGUUUAUCCCCCAACAUGUGACCAAACUCAAUUCUCUAAUAUUAGGGCACUUACUAAAAAACUUGGAUAUUAUAUCUUCAGAUAAUUUAAGGUGACGCAUUCCAAUUUCAGCUCUUGCAAAGAGGAAAUUAUUUGUACACCACAUAACACAUGCUUAACAAGUCCACAAUUAGUUAAAUGAGGAAUAGUAAGACAUUUCGACUGGAAAAUAGUAGUAACAUUCAUUAAUGCUUAAAUAGACCUCGUGGAAAUCGUUUUCCAUUGUAUCGUGGACAUCGUUGUGACGAGGUAAAUUGAAUGUGCAAUACUCUUUUUUCAGCAUUUAACAACUUAUUUUUCCAAGUGUCAAGAGAAGAACUUAUUGAAUUCCGAAACUUUUUGGAUUUUAUUUAUGGAAAAGGGAUUCACUAAAGUGUAAAGCCAAGUGUGAUGGGAUGUUACGAUGCCAUUUUUUGUUUACAAGGCGUACAUGAUGAAGAUCAUGAAAACUAAGGUAGGAAAAUAUGGAAUAGAGAAUAUGAUGGGGCAAUUGUAAGGUUGGAUCUACUAAAUUUGUUGGAUUAUUAUCUUCAACUGUUUGAGUAAUAUAAUGAUGAAGAGUUCAUCAUCAUCAGCCUUGCUAGCUGUGGAAACUUGUAACAUUAACACAAAACCUAACUAGGUUUAUUUGACAUUAAUUCUGAAAGGAAAAAAAUCCCCUUGGGCUAUUGUUGAGCCCAAUUAAAUAUAUGGGCUUCGCUGUUUUGCACACACCCUCCCUAAAAUAGGAUAGUUUUUAAUUUUUAUCCUUUACAUAGUGUGAUUUCUAAUUUUUGUCUCUAAAUUUAUAAUAAAAUUACAGAAAUCCCACAUUUUAGUUUACUUAUUACCAUUAUCUCCUAUAAGUUUUACAAAUCUCCAAAAUCUCUCAUUUUCGCACAUAAGAUUAGUGUAUCUCGUGCAUCAAAUUAGUGUAUCUCUCGCAUCAGAUUAGUGUAUCUCGCGCAUCAGAUUAAUGUAUCAUGUAUAAAAUGUACAUCAGAUUAGUGUAUCAUGUAUAAACAUAAUGUAUCUUAUUUAACGAUUAAUGUAUCUCGCGCAUCAGAUUAAUGUAUUAGCGCUUAUAUUAUUGUAUCCAUUUGAGGGAUUUCUGUAAUUAUAAACUUUUAAGGGAUAAAUUUUUUAUUAAUGAUAUUUUUUUUAAAGUCUAAUUCAUCUGAAUUUGCUUAUGUUUACUAUGCUUAUACGCAAAAAAAAAAAAAAAAAAGACGUAUCAUUUCACCGCGAUCUUUAUGGUAUAUUGGUGAUUAUCCCACGUGCUACACACUAAAACCGUACGGAAAUUUUAUACAUUAUUUUUAUUUUUAAUGUCUCUUUCGUCGUGCACCUUGUAUGAAUGGUGUGUCCCUUGGCUCCUCUCAUUCAUUCUUGUUUCGUCAUCAUCUUUGUUCACCAAAAAUCUCUCCUCCAUUUUCGCCUUUCACAGACGCCACCCACCCACACAGGUAACUCUCUCUCUUUUCUCUUUCUAAUCCUAUUAUUUUUCCAUAAUUACAUACUCUUUUUUUGUCAGCUCUUCUUUUAUCAUCAUCGUGUUUAUAUUUAGUAAUAUCAGACAUAUAUAUAAAAAAAUUAUAUGUUCAUAGGUAUUAUCAUAGAGAUCUCAAGUGUUUGAUAUACUAUAUUCUUCUUUGUUGCUUCAGUUUUUUAGAUCUGUUUUGCAAAAACGAAAAAGGAAAAAAUGAAUAGGUGUGGUUAUCAGCAAAAGGCCUUGAUGGGUUGUGUUGGUGUUGGAGAAAUUAGACGGGGAGAUAUUUCUGUUUCUGAUGGUCUUGUUUACCCCAAACCUCGCCGGAAUGAGAUUUUCAAUGAACCCAUUAGACCUUCUCGAUUCCUCCAAAUCAAGUAGGUUCAUAUAACUUUUUUUGUUUGCUGUUUUAAUUUCUCCGUUUUUCCCCUUUUUGUUAAUUAGUUACGGUGUUUCUGUUGCAGUAAUCAGCAAUCGGAG